CAGACAGAUGCUGCAGGUCAGCUCGUCCUCCAGGCUCAUGAGGGAAAAUUCGGACUCGUCGGCUUCGGCCAUCGUGAAACCAGCAGCUGCCGCUGCAGAGACGGAGAAAACGAAACUUAAAGGCGGCGCCGGAAAGAAACGAAAAUAAACCUACAUCCAGGCAGUGUAACUGUGAGACUCGUUACCUCAUCCUCUUGAGUGAUGAGGAUUUGUCCGUCUCCCAGGAUGCAGUUGGUGAUGUCCCACAAGGGGACCUCCUGCGGUGGGACCCAGUUUUGCCUUGUCAAUUCACCGGACGCAGCAUGUGCCGGUUCAACCUCCUUCAAGUCUGCAAGAGGACAUUGACUUCACUCACACACACAGUCGACAGGGAAAGAGGUGUCUGCGAUCGACACCAUCAUUUCGGUCACGCGGUGACCCCCGUUUGUUUUUCAGUUCUGAUGAUGACGGCCUGAUGAGACGACACUUAUCUCACUCACCGUGAGGACACUCCCAUUUACUGAUGCUAUCUGUUUCUUCAUGACACACCAAGAGAAACGGAUAUCCUGUUGUUUCUCAGUAGCUUUGCUCAACUUCCUUCUUAAUUUGCAUUGUCUCUGUGUUUACUUUUAAAAACCAUGUUUUACGGAUGCAGGCUUUUUAAUAAAAAAUGCAGAAAAUGAAGAUGCUGAUAAAAGCACUGAAUAAAUGAAGGGCAGUUGAGAAACAAUGGUUUUGUAGAAUCACUAUAAUGAUUAAAUAACACUCCACUAUACUGCAUUCACCCAAACUACUCGUUGAAAGUAUCCUCUUGAAAAUGACUGGACUGCUUGAUGGUACCUUUUUCUCUGCGAAAUGUGUUGUCAGCUGGUGUUUUUUAAGUGUAACCACCUUCAUAAUCUGUUCUUGGUUUUGUUUGAUUUGGAAUAGAUGAACCACACUGUUUUUGUUUUAAAAUUCAAACACCUUCUGCAGGAUCAGUUCCAGUUUUUAUUGCCGUUAUUUGAAGCCAAAGAGAUUUUCUGACCAAACGCAGUGCAGCGUAAAGUGUGCCAUCUUGUGUUGUAAGUUCAUUCUGCCGCAUCGCUCUGCAGGUCUCUACCCUGCUGUGUGCAGUCGGAUUUUUGUGCAUUUUGGAUGCACAAAAAUCCAAAAUCUGGUUGUUCCUUACUAAUCACUUUCAUCUGACCACACGCAAGCUCUUGUUUGAAAUGUUUAUCAGACGUCAUGUGACUGUUGUCAUGUCACUUUUUCCUGCUUCUCUCUUCUCAUCGCUGAACAUGAUGCAAGGACAUCGAGUUAAAAGCUUGGCUUGUCAAUCGAGAAGCAGCUUUUGGAUUGCCGCUCUCCCAGCAGCCACAUGUGCAAUUUGGAGGUGUGUGUAGUUCUCUCUGGCAUGUGGCCAUUGUCAUGGGGAGCUCAACACUUACAGAUGCUCAUGUCAAAUGGGCUACAUCAUAGUGUAAUGUUUUAUUUUAUCUUUUGUUCAUUGUGUUUUUGUUGUGUUUUAUAUGAUCCUUUUGUUCCAGCUAGAAUAGUUAGACAAUAGUUAAAGUUAAUUAGUCUAUUUAGUUUAGCAGCUCAAUGUGUGUUUUAAUAGGCUGUGGCCUUGAACUCAGCAUUACAUUUCCUUCAAAAGCCGCUGCUCCUCUCUACCAAACCUGGAACCUAUAAUGCUGCAAGCAGUAUAAUUAACGCCCACGAUCCAAACACAGAUGUCUGUUGCCUCUCUAGAGCCUUGCAGAGACCAGCCCUAUUCUGGCUAAUUUGUAUUAUUAAAGUGCCGAGUCAGUCCAGUGUAAAGAGGAGCUAAUAGCAGUCGGAAAUAAGAAAUACAUCAAGCACAGACUUUUUCAAUUUGAAACAUUAAUUUAUUUUGAAAUAAGAGCGUAUGGCAUUCACAUUAAACUGUGAAUGUUUGAUGUUUAAAAUUAAACAUCUGCUGCUUAUUACAGGA